UACGUAGGGGGCUAGCGUUGUCCGGAAUCAUUGGGCGUAAAGAGCGCGUAGGCGGCCAGAUAAGUCCGGUGUGAAAGUCAAAGGCUCAACCUUUGAAUGCCGCUGGAAACUGUCUGGCUAGAGUCCGGGAGGGGCGAGUGGAAUUCCUGGUGUAGCGGUGAAAUGCGCAGAUAUCAGGAGGAACACCAAUGGCGAAGGCAGCUCGCUGGAACGGUACUGACGCUGAGGCGCGAAAAGCGUGGGGGAGCGAACAGG
rnacentral:rRNA from 1 species